GCAGCCGCCGCGGGAAUACGUAGGGUCCGAGCGUUGUCCGGAAUUAUUGGGCGUAAAGGGCUCGUAGGCGGUUUGUCGCGUCGGGAGUGAAAACCAGCAGCUUAACUGCUGGCCUGCUUUCGAUACGGGCAGACUUGAGGCAUUCAGGGGAGAACGGAAUUCCUGGUGUAGCGGUGGAAUGCGCAGAUAUCAGGAGGAACACCGGUGGCGAAGGCGGUUCUCUGAGAAUGUUCUGACGCUGAGGAGCGAAAGUGUGGGGAGCGAACAGGAUUAGAUACCCCCGUAGUCCCUGUCUCUUAUAC
rnacentral:rRNA from 1 species